UACUUAUCAAGAGUGACGGAGGGAUCAGGCCCUGUGAUGUCCGGCAACCGCCCUUAGGGAACGGUGCCAAUUCCUGCAGAAUGAUUGCAUUCUGAAAGAUAAGCC
rfam:Bacillus sp. FJAT-22058 super1, whole genome shotgun sequence.